UGGGGAUUUCUGCAUCCGGGUCUUUUCUGAAAAGAAAGCUGACUACCAAGCUGUCGAUGAUGAAAUCGAGGCCAAUCUUGAAGAGGUAUUUGUAACUCUUUGAAUUUCACCCACUCUGUCCUGGACAAUCCAGAGAGCAGAGGAGCAAAAAAACUCCAAGAGUUUUUGGACUUCACGAACAAAGCCUGAAACUAAGGAUAAAGCCGGUUCGACAUCAGCGAGGAUGACAUUGAUGAUGGAUUCAGGAGACUGUUUGCCCAGUUGGCAGGAGAGGAUGCGGAGAUCUCUGCCUUUGAGCUGCAGACCAUCCUGAGAAGGGUUCUAGCAAAGC
rnacentral:lncRNA from 1 species